rnacentral:rRNA from 1 species
GAUGAACGCUAGCGGCAGGCUUAACACAUGCAAGUCGAGGGGUAUAGUUCUUCGGAACUAGAGACCGGCGCACGGGUGCGUAACGCGUAUGCAAUCUACCUUUUACAGAGGGAUAGCCCAGAGAAAUUUGGAUUAAUACCUCAUAGUAUGUGAGAAUCGCAUGGUUUUCACAUUAAAGUUCCAACGGUAAAAGAUGAGCAUGCGUCCCAUUAGCUAGAUGGUAAGGUAACGGCUUACCAUGGCGACGAUGGGUAGGGGUCCUGAGAGGGAGAUCCCCCACACUGGUACUGAGACACGGACCAGACUCCUACGGGAGGCAGCAGUGAGGAAUAUUGGACAAUGGGCGCAAGCCUGAUCCAGCCAUGCCGCGUGCAGGAUGACGGUCCUAUGGAUUGUAAACUGCUUUUGUACAGGAAGAAACACUCCCUCGUGUGGGAGCUUGACGGUACUGUAGGAAUAAGGAUCGGCUAAACUCCGUGCCAGCAG